CCCCGACCUCCGGCUGCCUGGUCGUUUUGGCGGUAGCGGAAGUCAGCACAAGGCCGGGGAAAGCCAGUCGUGUACCUGGGGUUGUGCUGGGUCUUUGAAGCUGGGUCUAGAGGUCAGAGAUGUGAAAUGUCAGCGAUUCUCCUGCUGGCCUCGAAGCCGCC
rnacentral:lncRNA from 1 species